rnacentral:rRNA from 1 species
GACGAACGCUGGCGGCGUGCUUAACACAUGCAAGUCGAACGGUGAAGCGCCUUCCUUUUUGGUGGGUGUGGAUGAGUGGCGAACGGGUGAGUAACACGUGAGUAACCUGCCCCCUUCUUCUGGAUAACCGCAUGAAAGUGUGGCUAAUACGGGAUAUUCUGGGUCUGUCGCAUGAUGGGUCUGGGAAAGAUAUUGUUUCGGUGGGGGAUGGGCUCGCGGCCUAUCAGCUUGUUGGUGGGGUGAUGGCCUACCAAGGCGGUGACGGGUAGCCGGCCUGAGAGGGUGGACGGUCACACGGGGACUGAGACACGGCCCAGACUCCUACGGGAGGCAGCAGUGGGGAAUAUUGCACAAUGGGCGCAAGCCUGAUGCAGCGACGCCGCGUGAGGGAUGGAGGCCUGCGGGUUGUGAACCUCUUUCGCCAGUGAAGCAGGCCUGCCUCGUUUGUGGGUGGGUUGACGGUAGCUGGAGAAGAAGCGCCGGCUAACUACGUG